rnacentral:misc_RNA from 1 species
GCCUGCUUCAUCAAACUCCCCUGCACUUGUCAAGGAUCUAUGUAUGCCAUCAUAAACAGCCUUAGAAAGGGAAUUCCCCGUUGCUGCAAAUUUGUUUGCAACUCUAGAAACCAAAUCCAAAUCGGGGUUGUCGCUUGCUGAGAUGCUCUGCAAAAGAAUACUGCAAUCUUGAACUGAGGGCUUAAAUGGGCCAUCCAUCAUAAAUUCAUA